CGGCGGGCUUAGACAUGCGAGUCGAGCGAGAAGCACCUUCGGGUGUAAGUAAAGCAGCGAACGGGUGAGUAACACGUGAGUAACCUACCUUCCGGUGGGGGACAACACCUCGAAAGGGGUGCUAAUACCGCAUACGUCUUUUUGUUCUCCGGAACGAANAGGGAAAGGCAGCCUCUCCUUGGAAGCUGUCGCGGGAAGAGGGGCUCGCGGCCCAUUAGCUAGUUGGUGAGGUAACGGCUCACCAAGGCGACGAUGGGUAGCUGGUUUAAGAGGGAUUGAUUCAGCCACACCUGGGAACUGAGAACACGGCCCAAACUCCUAACGGGAGGCAGCAGUCGGGAAUAUUGGACAAUGGGGGAAACCCUGAUCCAGCCAUGCCGCGUGGGUGAUGGAGGCCUUCGGGUCGUAAAGCCCUGUCAGAGGGGAAGAAACGGACCGAAUGUUAAUAGCAUUCGACCUUGACGGUACCCUCAGAGGAAGCACCGGCCAACUACGUGCCAGCAGCCGCGGUAAUACGUAGGGUGCAAGCGUUGCUCGGAAUCACUGGGCGUAAAGGGCGUGUAGGCGGCUCGGUAAGCGGGAUGUGAAAGCCCUCGGCUCAACCGAGGAAGUGCAUUCCGAACUGUCGGGCUUGAGUUCGGGAGAGGGUGGUGGAAUUCCCGGUGGAACGGUGAAAUGUGUAGAUAUCGGAAGGAACAUCGGUGGCGAAGGCGGCCACCUGGCCCGAAACUGACGCUGAAACGCGAAAGCGUGGGGGAGCAAACAGGAUUAGAUACCCUGGUAGUCCCACGCCGUAAACGGUGAGCACUUGGGUUGUUGGAAGUAUUUACCCUUUCAGUGCC
rnacentral:rRNA from 1 species